GAUGAACGCUGGCGGCGUGCCUAAUACAUGCAAGUCGAGCGAACAUACGCGGAGCUUGCUCCUCUGAUGUUAGCGGCGGACGGGUGAGUAACACGUGGAUAACCUACCUAUAAGACUGGGAUAACUUCGGGAAACCGGAGCUAAUACCGGAUAACAUGUUGAACCGCAUGGUUCAACAGUGAAAGACGGUCUUGCUGUCACUUAUAGAUGGAUCCGCGCCGCAUUAGCUAGUUGGUAAGGUAACGGCUUACCAAGGCAACGAUGCGUAGCCGACCUGAGAGGGUGAUCGGCGACACUGGAACUGAGACAAGGUCCAGACUCCUACGGGAGGCAGCAGUAGGGAAGCUUCCGCAAUGGGCGAAAGAAUGACGGAGCAACGACGCGUGAGUGAAGAAGGUCGUCGGAUCGUAAAACUCUGUUAUUAGGGAAGAACAAAUGUGUAAGUAACGAGGCACGGCUUGACGGUACCUAAUCAGAAAGCCACGGCUAACUACGUG
rnacentral:rRNA from 1 species